AUACUCCUUAAAAAACAAAAAGAACUCCUAUUCAGCAAACAUACAAAGACCCAUUUCAAGACCCAUUUCAUACGAAGACCCAUUUCAAAGAGUUAACAAAACUUCCCAUUUUGGCUCAGUCUUUUCUCAAAAAUCAGUCCCAUUUUGGUUAAAAUUGGUUGAGUCCGCCCACUAAUACAUUGUGCUACCGAAAAAUAUGGAGAAUUUCAGAUAUGGAGCGACAUAUAUGGAAGAAAAAAUAAAUUGGCGUUUGAAGAAGACGGGGAAAGGAAGCGAGCGCUAUUGGAAGAACAUUCACAUAGUGUUCAAGACUUUUUUGAGGUUAACUUAAUCAAGAACACCACAAAUAAUGGAGUUGACACACAAAAAAAGAAGUGACACUUUUGAAGGGUGUGUGAUACCAAUUAGGAAAAUAGAACAAAUGAUAGAUAGGUGUGUUGGCACUUAUUAAAAGUACUUUUGAAAUAUGUGAUCUUAAACAUAUCAUCGUUAUUAGAAAUAUGAAAAGUUUAAAGUUUAAAUUUUUCAAAUAGAGAAAGCUAUCACUAUUUUUUG